UCCCUGGUGGUCCAGUGGUUAGGACGUUGUGCUCUCAUUGAUAGGGCCCAGGUUCAAUCCCUGGUCGGGGAA
rfam:TPA: Bos taurus chromosome 1, whole genome shotgun sequence.